rnacentral:rRNA from 1 species
AUUGAACGCUGGCGGCAUGCUUUACACAUGCAAGUCGGACGAGUGGCGAACGGGUGAGUAACGCAUCGGAACGAACCGAGUAAUGGGGGAUAACUGUCCGAAAGGAAAGCUAAUACCGCAUAUUAGUCGAGCGGCCGAUGACUGCUUAGCCGGUUGGCGGGGUAAAGGCCCCCCAAGGCGAAGAUCAGUAGCGGGUCUGAGAGGGUGAGCCGCCACACUGUGACUGAGACACGGCCCAGACUCAUACGGGAGGCAGCAGUGGGGAAUUUUGGACAAUGGGCGCAAGCCUGAUCCAGCCAUGCCGCGUGUCUGAAGAAGGCCUUCGGGUUGUAAAGGACUUUUGUCAGGGAAGCGGUACCUGAAGAAUAAGCACCGGCUAACUACGUGCCAGCAGCCGCGGUAAUAC